UAUUGGACAAUGGGGGGAACCCUGAUCCAGCGACGCCGCGUGAGUGAAGAAGUUUUUCGGUAUGUAAAGCUCUAUCAGCAGGGAAGAAAUAAAUGACGUUACCUUACUAAGAAGCCCCGGUUAACUACGUGACAGCAGCCGCGGUAAUACGUAGGGGGCAAGCGUUAUCCGGAUUUACUGGGUGUAAAGGGAGCGUAGACGGCGAUGCAAGUCUGAAGUGAAAGGCGGGGGCCCAACCCCCGGACUGCUUUGGAAACUGUAUAGCUGGAGUGCAGGAGAGGUAAGUGGAAUUCCUAGUGUAGCGGUGAAAUGCGUAGAUAUUAGGAGGAACACCAGUGGCGAAGGCGGCUUACUGGACUGUAACUGACGUUGAGGCUCGAAGGCGUGGGGAGCAAACAGG
rnacentral:rRNA from 1 species